AGCAGCCGCGGUAAUUCCAGCUCCAAUAGCGUAUAUUAAAGUUGUUGCAGUUAAAAAGCUCGUAGUUGAAUUUCGGGAUCAAUUAAUUGGUCGUGCCUCUGGUACGCACUGGUUUUAUUGGUUUCUCCCUUCUGACGAACCACGAUGUCAUUAAUUUGGUGUCGUGGAGAAUCAGGACUGUUACUUUGAAAAAUUGAGUGUUUAAAGCAGGCUAACGCUUGAAUACAUUAGCAUGGAAUAAUGAAAUAGGACGUUUGAUCCUAUUUUGUUGGUUUCUAGGAUCGACGUAAUGAUUAAUAGGGAUAGUUGGGGGCAUUAGUAUUCAAUUGUCAGAGGUGAAAUUCUUGGAUUUAUUGAAGACUAACUACUGCGAAAGC
rnacentral:rRNA from 1 species